AGAGUGAACGCUGGCGGCAGGCCUAAUACAUGCAAGUCGAACGGCAGCACGGCAGAGCUUGCUCUGUGGGUGGCGAGUGGCGGACGGGUGAGGAAUACAUGGGAAUCUGCCCAGUCGUGGGGGAUAAACGUAGGGAAACUUACGCUAAUACCGCAUGCGCCCUUCGGGGGAAAGCCGGGGACCUUCGGGCCUGGCGCGAUUGGAUGAGCCCAUGUCGGAUUAGCUAGUUGGCGGGGUAACGGCCCACCAAGGCGACGAUCCGUAGCUGGUCUGA
rnacentral:rRNA from 1 species